rnacentral:rRNA from 1 species
AUGAAAUGUGUCACUUCUGUUUGGUUCACGAUUAAGGUGAAUGGCGAGCUACUACCGUACUUCACUCCCUCACGAGGUUUACGGCAAGGAUGCCCCAUUUCGCCGUACCUGUUCCUACUGUGUGCUCAAGGCCUUACUUCACUUCUGAAUAAUUUUGGUGCAGCAUACAUUGAUCGAGGAAUUAGGGUGAGUAUCCAUGCACCUUGGGUUAAUCACUUGCUUUUUGCUGAUGAUUGCCUUAUCUUCUUGAAUGCACAAGCCCAGAGUGCGGAUAGACUGAACGAUAUUCUCCAGAUUUACGCUGAUUGCUCCGGACAAGCAGUGAACAGGGAGAAAAGCUCUAUAUAUUUCAGUGCCAAUACACAUCAACCCACACGGCAGGCGCUUAAGCAAUCUCUGGACAUACAUGUUGAGGCCUUCUCGGAGCGUUACUUGGGUUUACCUACAGCUAUUGGCAAGAUAACUACUGGAACAUUUGAUCAUAUUGUUGAUCGAUGUCGAAGUAAGUUA